CAACACUGGAAAUUUUAUUUCUAGUGAUUGGAAUGAUGGGAAUUUAAACCCCUUUCAGAGUAACAAUUGGAGGGCAAGUCUGGUGCCAGCAGCCGCGGUAAUUCCAGCUCCAAUAGCGUAUAUUAAAGUUGUUGCAGUUAAAAAGCUCGUAGUUGGAUGUCUGCUGGAAGCAAUCAGUCCGCCCUAUUUGUAGGGUGUGCACUUGAUGAAUUCUGGCAUUUUUGUCCCAAUGAUGUAACGGGGCGGUGGUACUCGGUGAAAGCCGAGUAUCCUGUUUUCCGAUUAUUGGGAUACUGUUACUUUGAGAAAAUUAGAGUGUUUGAAGCAGGCUAAUUGCCUUGAAUACUGCAGCAUGGAAUAACAAUAUAGGAUUUCGGUUCUAUUUUGUUGGUUUCUAGGACUGAAAUAAUGAUUAAUAGGGACAGUUGGGGGCAUUCGUAUUUAACUGUCAGAGGUGAAAUUCUUAGAUUUGUUAAAGACGAACUACUGCGAAAGCAUUUGCCAAAGAUGUUUUCAUUAAUCAAGAACGAAAGUUAGGGGCUCGAAGACGAUCAGAUACCGUCGUAGUCUUAACCAUAAACUAUGCCGACUAGAGAUAGGAAAAUGUCAUUUUGCUGACUU
rnacentral:rRNA from 1 species